AAAUUUAUUUUCGAAUUAUUGGAAUCGUUUUGAUAUUUUUUUCAGAUCCGUUUAGAUUUGUCUGUUUUUGGACUGUUUACUUGUUAGAUUUUCGAUUUUUUCAGGAACAAUGGUGACAUCUGAAGACGAAGAGUCAUCCACCUCUAGCUUGGAGAGAAAAAUCUUGAAAUCUGUCACAGCUGCAAUGGCAACAAUGAUCGACGAGAAGCUUGGUGCUCUACACUUGAAUCAAAUCAACCCGGAACCAAAUCAACGUCAAAGGCAGCACCAAGAGGAACCAAGGCAAGAUGAGGAAGCAAGAAAUUACUAUAGUCAUGCCUCUUCUCACAAUAGUCAACGUAGGCGGCAGCGAGAAAGACCCCCGCCUAGAGAUCCUUUGGGAAAAAUAAAACUCAAGAUUCCCGCCUUUCACGGAACCAACAAUCCGGACACUUACUUGGAGUGGGAGCAGAAAAUUGAGUUAGUCUUUGUUUGUCAAGAGUGUACCGAGGCCAACAAGGUUAAAGUUGCGGCUACUGAGUUCUACGACUAUGCGCUAAGUUGGUGGGAUCAACUUGUUACCAGCCGAAGACGUGCCGGAGACUAUCCGAUUGAAACAUGGAACCAGUUGAAAACCAUCAUGCGAAAGAGAUUUGUGCCAAGUUAUUACCAUCGUGAUCUACAUCAACGGCUAAGGAAUUUGGUCCAAGGAAGCAAGACGGUCGAGGAAUAUUUUAAAGAAAUGGAAACGCUUAUGCUAAGAGCCGAUAUUCAAGAAGAUGGAGAAGCCGUUAUGUCCCGAUUUAUGGGAGGUCUCAACCGAGAAAUCCAAGAUCGUCUAGAAACUCAACACUAUGUGGAACUUGAUGAGAUGCUUCACAAAGCGGUCAUGUUCGAACAGCAAAUCAAAAGAAGAAAUUCCCGAUUAAGCUACGGCACCACCAAAACCAAAUACAGCUCGGAAAAACCAAGUUAUCAAAAGGAAGAGAAAUCCGUCUACCAAAAGGACUACAAGCCAUUCGUCAAGCCAAAACCGCUAGAUUCAGACCCAAAAGGAAAGGGUAAGGAAGUGACCACAAGGGCUAGAGAUAUUCGAUGCUUUAAGUGUCAAGGACUUGGGCACUACGCGAGCGAUUGUUCUAACAAAAGGAUCAUGGUCCUUAGAGACAAUGGUGAAGUAGAAUCCGAAGAUGAACGUUUGGAAAACGAUUCAAUGGAAGAGAGUUUGGAAGCCCCAACUAAAGGAGAGUUGCUUGUUGCGAGAAGAUCAUUGAGUGUUCUAACUAAGGCCGAAGAGCAAGCGCAAAGGGAAAACUUGUUUCACACAAGAUGUUUAGUCAAAGGUAAGGUAUGUAGCUUGAUUAUUGACGGAGGAAGCUGUACCAAUGUUGCGAGUAGAAGUAUGGUUGAGAAGCUUGGUUUAGAAGUGCUUAAACACCCGAGACCAUAUUCGCUCCAAUGGCUUAACAAAAAUGGUGAGAUGUCCGUCAACGAACAAGUCAAGGUUCCAUUGUCAAUCGGCAAGUAUCAAGACGAGAUCGUGUGUGAUAUACUACCAAUGGAUGCUAGUCACAUUCUUCUUGGACGCCCAUGGCAAUCGGAUCGACAAGUUCUCCACAAUGGCUUCACCAAUCGACACACCUUUGAACACAAUGGCCGAAAAACGACUCUUAUUCCGAUGACUCCGCACAAAAUCUAUCUAGAUCAGCUAAGUAUGGAGCAACGGGCCAUCAAACCAACCGAACCGAUCGAUACCAAGGGUAAGAACAAGGUAGGUCAUAAAAAUAGUUUACUCUUUGUUUUCAAAGAAACUCUUACUUGUUCAACUAAUCCCGAACCGGUGCUACCGAGUAAGAUCAAGUUGGUUUUGCAAGAGUUUAAGGACGUGUUUCCGGAAGAUAAUCCCAUAGGUUUACCACCCAUCCGAGGGAUCGAGCAUCAAAUCGACUUUGUUCCGGGAGCCGCUAGACAAAUCUCGAUUGUGGUAGUUUCGACUUCCACAGUUUGGCGCCAUCUGUGGGGAUACUUUAGAAUUCUCUUUCCCUAAGACGCAGAACUCAAUUACCGAAAAGGACGAUGAACGAAGACGGUCUUCAGACACCACCAGCCGGAGGAGGGAACCCUAACCCUCCGAACCCUCAGAAUCCUCAAGCCGACCCGGCAAUCUCAACGACCCUAGCCGAACUGAAGGAUAUGAUGGUUAAAUUCCAGAAGAAAGCUGACGACCAAGAGAAAGCUAACAAAACCUUGGCGCAGCGAAUCGACGAAAUCGCAACCCGUGGGCAACAAAAAACCACGCGUUUCCAGACUCGGCCGCCACGAGCCCGGAGGGAUUUGCCUGGCAUCAACCCGACAAGACUCACGUUCGCGACACCAACCGACAACACCAGAGUCGUAACCCGAGCCGACCCUGCCUGAUGAGACCAUGGCCAACACAACCGCACCACACGAACCCGAGGAGCAGCUUGUAGCCGAGGAGCAGCUUGUACCGGAGGAAGCACUAAUCGUCCCGGCGGGUCCUCUAACUCGAUCAAGAUCCAAAAGGUUCAACCAAGCAAUCAAUGGACUACUUAGGGAGCUAGACAAGAAGCAAGAAGACGUGGCCCAAAUCUCCCUUAUGAUGAUCACGGCCCAAAGUGCUCGGUAAAGGGAUAAGUGUUGCUUACGCACUCUUUUUCCCUUGUCAAGUUUUGUCCCAAUGGGUUUUCUUGACAAGGUUUUUAAUGAGGCCUAAGUAACACUUUCAAGCCUCCCUUUAUCAGCCCAAUUCAUGGUCCAAGGCCCAUCACUUUGCCUUGGCCCAUUAUCUUAUUUUUAUGUUCAAACUUUGCAUUUAAUGCCUUUGUAAUUUCCUAGAUACUUUGCAUGAGCUUGCAUGAGUGUGGACUUGUGCAUGCUCGUGCAUGUUCUCCUUCUCCUCUCUUCUCCUUCAUCCUCCUCUUCUUUAUAUUCUCUUUGUAGCUCUCAUUUGCAAACCAUCAAACAUUUUAUCAAAAAUCUCUCUUUUACUUGUUUGAUCCGAGAAGUGUGUAAUAUCUUCUCAACUUGUUUUCUUCUUAGUGUGUAAUAUCUAAGUUGUAUUCAAGCUCGUAGUCUAAGAGAUUUCCACCUCUCUUGGAAGUACAAAACGUUCCACCUUCAAUCCGCUGCAACAGUUCAUCCGUUUGUCCGUUCAUCUUCCACCUACGAUCUCGCUCUUCUUCCAUUCCGCUGCAUCCUUCAUGUUCAAAACCAACAAAGUGUGUUCUUGGGAAUAGAUCCUCAUCUAGGAGUCUAUCAUGUGGUAUCAGAGCCACUUUGUUACCAGGUUUUGAUGUUCCAACCCUAAAUUUUCUGUUUUUCUCGAUUUCACAUUUUUUUCGAGAUUUCUGAUCGCAUCUUGUUUUAAUUUUUAAAAAUAAUUGGCUCGUUGAAAAAUUGUGAAACCAAUUGCGUUCGAACCAGUAACGAGUCUAGUAUUUUUGAAAAUUUAUUUUCGAAUUAUUGGAAUCGUUUUGAUAUUUUUUUCAGAUCCGUUUAGAUUUGUCUGUUUUUGGACUGUUUACUUGUUAGAUUUUCGAUUUUUUCAGGAACAAUGGUGACAUCUGAAGACGAAGAGUCAUCCACCUCUAGCUUGGAGAGAAAAAUCUUGAAAUCUGUCACAGCUGCAAUGGCAACAAUGAUCGACGAGAAGCUUGGUGCUCUACACUUGAAUCAAAUCAACCCGGAACCAAAUCAACGUCAAAGGCAGCACCAAGAGGAACCAAGGCAAGAUGAGGAAGCAAGAAAUUACUAUAGUCAUGCCUCUUCUCACAAUAGUCAACGUAGGCGGCAGCGAGAAAGACCCCCGCCUAGAGAUCCUUUGGGAAAAAUAAAACUCAAGAUUCCCGCCUUUCACGGAACCAACAAUCCGGACACUUACUUGGAGUGGGAGCAGAAAAUUGAGUUAGUCUUUGUUUGUCAAGAGUGUACCGAGGCCAACAAGGUUAAAGUUGCGGCUACUGAGUUCUACGACUAUGCGCUAAGUUGGUGGGAUCAACUUGUUACCAGCCGAAGACGUGCCGGAGACUAUCCGAUUGAAACAUGGAACCAGUUGAAAACCAUCAUGCGAAAGAGAUUUGUGCCAAGUUAUUACCAUCGUGAUCUACAUCAACGGCUAAGGAAUUUGGUCCAAGGAAGCAAGACGGUCGAGGAAUAUUUUAAAGAAAUGGAAACGCUUAUGCUAAGAGCCGAUAUUCAAGAAGAUGGAGAAGCCGUUAUGUCCCGAUUUAUGGGAGGUCUCAACCGAGAAAUCCAAGAUCGUCUAGAAACUCAACACUAUGUGGAACUUGAUGAGAUGCUUCACAAAGCGGUCAUGUUCGAACAGCAAAUCAAAAGAAGAAAUUUCC
rnacentral:lncRNA from 1 species